rnacentral:lncRNA from 1 species
GGGACGUUGGAUUGUUGUGAGACUUGGUAGCAUUCGUAAAUUUGGGAUCCAAACUGCAUUACCUCCUGACUUUGUCUUUCAUUUGGUAACGUUGUNUCCUAAAUGAACAAAAAUUUUUUUACAAUACAAGUUACCAAAGAUAAGUAAAAAAUGNAACAAGCAUCCAAUUGAAAAACUCACACAUUCUUCAAUGAAGAUAUUUGAAGUCUUUUGAGUUGAGACAGAUUUGCCUUUUUUCGUCCUUUUCUCAACGGCUGACUUCAACCUGUUUGUGCGUGGUCGUCCUUUGCGUUUAACUGAUUUAGGACUACGCACAAGUACAUCAACACCUUCACCUUCAUUGUCCGCUGUUGAAUUGGGUACCGCAUUUUCAUAACGUAGUUCGCCUCCAUCGCUAACUAUUUUAUUUGUCAAUGUUGAACUACAUCCAAACGUUUUACGCAGCAGUUGUAGUUGUUUCUCCAAG